rnacentral:misc_RNA from 1 species
AAGUCGUAACAAGGUUUCCGUAGGUGAACCUGCGGAAGGAUCAUUAUUCAUCGCUUUGAAGGUUAUACUUGUGUUUGUUUUUCUCGUAACCCGUGAAUUAUUAUAUACACCUAUAACCCGAGCAACGUUUCUGUGCACUGUUGGAAAAAAAGGAAAUAAAUAAUUUCAUUUAUUUCUUUUUUUUCCAUUCUAUUAUAUUAUAGUGUUGGUUUCUUUUUUUUUAAUUAAGAAAAAACCACACUAUGUUAUUAUUACUCUGAUGUAUUAUUAUUAUUUAUAACUAUUAUUAUAUGAAAGACAACUUUCAGCAAUGGAUCUCUUGGCUCUU